rfam:Picea glauca, whole genome shotgun sequence.
CAAUAGGUCUUUUUAAAGACCACCUUUUUCUGCAUUUCCAUCCCUCU